rnacentral:rRNA from 1 species
AUACGGGGGGUGCGAGCGUUGUCCGGAAUCACUGGGCGUAAAGGGCGCGUAGGUGGUCUGAUAAGGGUGUGGUGAAAGUCCGGGGCUCAACCCCGGAUCUGCCGUGCCGACUGUCAGACUCGAGGACUGUAGAGGCAGGCGGAAUUCCGGGUGUAGCGGGGGGAUGCGUAGAGAUCCGGAGGAAGACAGGUGGCGAAGGCGGCCUGCUGGGCAGUUACUGACACUGAGGCGCGACAGCGUGGGGAGCAAACGGGAUUAGAUACCCCGGUAGUCCUGGCCCUAAACGAUGAAUGCUUGGUGUGGCGGGUAUCGAUCCCUGACGUGCCGAAGCUAACGCAUUAAGCAUUCCGCCUGGGGAGUUCGGUCGCAAGGCUGAAACUCAAAUGAAUUGACGGGG